rnacentral:rRNA from 1 species
GAUGAACGCUGGCGGCGUGCCUAAUACAUGCAAGUCGAGCGAACAGACGAUGAGCUUGCUCCUCUGACGUUAGCGGCGGACGGGUGAGUAACACGUGGAUAACCUACCUAUAAGACUGGUAUAACUUCGGGAAACCGGCGCUAAUACCGGAUAAUAUAUUGAACCGCAUGGUUCAAUAGUGAAAGACGGUUUUGCUGUCACUUAUAGAUGGAUCCAAGCCGCAUUAGCUAGUUGGUAAGGUAACGGCUUACCAAGGCGACGAGGCGUAGCCGACGUGAGAGGGUGAUCGGCCACACUGGAACUGAGACAGGGUCCAGACUCCUACGGGAGGCAGCAGUAGGGAAUCUUCCGCAAUGGGCGAAAGCCUUACGGAGCAACGCCGCGUGAGUGAUAAAGGUCUUCGGAUCGUAAAACUCUGUUAUUGGGGAAGAACAAAUGUGUAAGUAACUAUGCACGUCUUGACGGUACCUAAUCAGAAAGCAACGGCUAACUACGUG